GCACCUGCUUGUGAAUGGUGGGUCAGGUUUAACUAAGGAGUGUAGUCAAUAACUGUUAGGUUAGCCCACAUGAUUUAGAGACCAAGUCACUGCAACAUGCUUAGAGAAGCAUAUGGGCAAAGAGUUACCUAUGCAUCGAUGUGCAUGCUACCAAUAAUUCUUAGGUGAGGUGCAUGGCAUCGAUGGGACCGUAGCACCCACUAGGAAUUCUUUAUCGCAUUAAGAUUUUUGUUUCUCACUCGAAGAG
rnacentral:lncRNA from 1 species